GCUGACACAUCCCUGCCAAUCUCCGGCAGACCCUCCCUCCCUGACCCUCCCACCUUCUGGACAGCAUCCAUGUUGAAGCUGCCUUCAACAUGGAUGCUGUCCAGGAAGUAGGAGGGUCUGGGAGGGAGGGUCUGCCGGAGAUUGGCAGGGAUGUGUAAG